rnacentral:rRNA from 1 species
UACAGAGGGGGCAAGCGUUGUUCGGAAUUACUGGGCAUAAAGGGCGCGUAGGCGGCCGACUAAGUCAGACGUGAAAUCCCCAGGCUCAACCUGGGAACUGCGUCUGAUACUGGAUGGCUUGAGUUCGGGAGAGGGAAGUGGAAUUCCUGGUGUAGCGGUGAAAUGCGCAGAUAUCAGGAGGAACACCGGUGGCGAAGGCGGGUCUCUGGGCCGAUACUGACGCUGAGGAGCGAAAGCGUGGGGAGCGAACAGG